UUGUGGAGGAGGACGCCGAAGGUGGGGCUAAUGACUGGGGUGAAGUCGUAACAAGGUAGCCGUACCGGAAGGUGCGGCUGGAUCACCUCCUAACAGGGAGACAACAAAAUGUUUAAUAUUAUUAUUUUGUCACCUUAGGUCGAUCGGUAUCUCACGUUCUUAAUUUAUUAAGAAUUUCAUUUCCUAAGUUUUUUCUAGGUCACACCCAUUAUUUUUCCUGGGCCAUUAGCUCAGGUGGUUAGAGCGCACCCCUGAUAAGGGUGAGGUCCCUGGUUCAAGUCCAGGAUGGCCCAUAUCUCUAUGUUGGGGGUAUAGCUCAGUUGGUAGAGCGCCUGCUUUGCAAGCAGGAUGUCAGCGGUUCGAGUCCGCUUACCUCCACUGAUUACCACCUCUUACAUAAUUUUUGAGAAGGAAAUGUUUUGAGUAGUGAUCAAAUUCUGAACGAAUCUAGCUUCCUAAUGAAAGCAUUAAGAUGCUGGACUCAUUGAAUUAAUUUCAUUGUUUUCAGAGAACCUUGACAACUGCAUAGAUUAUUUUUAAAGACAAUAAGCAUCUUUAAUGAUGCAGAUUUAUUAUUUGUGCGAAUGCAUUAAUAACAAUUCUAUUAAGCUGAUGCUUCAAUUUUGAAGUUAUUGGUCAAGCUACAA
rnacentral:misc_RNA from 1 species